rnacentral:tRNA from 1 species
AUUUAUAUAGUUUAAUAAUAAAACAUUACAUUUUCAUUGUAAAAAUAAAAUAUAAAAUUUUUAUAAAUA